CCUACGGUGGACAGCAGUAGGGAAUCUUCCACAAUGGGCGCAAGCCUGAUGGAGCAACACCGCGUGAGUGAAGAAGGGUUUCGGCUCGUAAAGCUCUGUUGUUGGAGAAGAACGUGCGUGAGAGUAACUGUUCACGCAGUGACGGUAUCCAACCAGAAAGUCACGGCUAACUACGUGCCAGCAGCCGCGGUAAUACGUAGGUGGCAAGCGUUAUCCGGAUUUAUUGGGCGUAAAGCGAGCGCAGGCGGUCGCUUAGGUCUGAUGUGAAAGCCUUCGGCUUAACCGAAGAAGUGCAUCGGAAACCGGGCGACUUGAGUGCAGAAGAGGACAGUGGAACGCCAUGUGUAGCGGUGGAAUGCGUAGAUAUUAGGAGGAACACCAGUGGCGAAGGCGGCUUACUGGACUGUAACUGACGUUGAGGCUCGAAAGCGUGGGGAGCAAACAGGAUUAGAUACCCUGGUAGUC
rnacentral:rRNA from 1 species